rnacentral:rRNA from 1 species
GAUGAACGCUGGCGGCGUGCCUAAUACAUGCAAGUCGAGCGAACGGACGAGAAGCUUGCUUUUCUGAUGUUAGCGGCGGACGGGUGAGUAACACGUGGAUAACCUACCUAUAAGACUGGGAUAACUUCGGGAAACCGGAGCUAAUACCGGAUAAUAUUUUGAACCGCAUGGUUCAAAAGUGAAAGACGGUCUUGCUGUCACUUAUAGAUGGAUCCGCGCUGCAUUAGCUAGUUGGUAAGGUAACGGCUUACCAAGGCAACGAUGCAUAGCCGACCUGAGAGGGUGAUCGGCCACACUGGAACUGAGACACGGUCCAGACUCCUACGGGAGGCAGCAGUAGGGAAUCUUCCGCAAUGGGCGAAAGCCUGACGGAGCAACGCCGCGUGAGUGAUGAAGGUCUUCGGAUCGUAAAACUCUGUUAUUAGGGAAGAACAUAUGUGUAAGUAACUGUGCACAUUUUGACGGUACCUAAUCAGAAAGCCACGGCUAACUACGUG